rnacentral:lncRNA from 12 species
UAAGUUUUUUGACAUAAAUGAUAUUCUCUGAGUCUUCAAACUGCUCUUUAUAUGUACAUAUAAACUUUUAGAAUAUGUUAAAGCAAAACAAAACUUAAGUGGUUGGCUCUUAAAACUGAAGGACUUAGCUUCAAUUGAAUAUUAUCUCCAUAAUACAUUAAUGAAAUCUACUUAAGUGUUCAAAAAAGCCAAAAAUUUGUCCUUGUUUUCUGUAUUAUCCAUACCCUGAGGGCGGUGAUGGAGAAAAUCCUUGCGGGUUUUUGAAUGAUGGAGGAAGUUUAGGAAUAGAAGAAAUUGAGAAGAUGUAGUCCAUACCUCAGAAACAAGACUUGAAUAGUGUUACACAAACAAAAAAAGCCAGAAUUAUGGUUACCAUCAGCUACAUAGGAACGCCAACUAAGAAAACCUAAGUCAAAUGCUUUUUAGCCCCCUUAAUGUCUUCAGGAAUGUUCUAUGAAAAGACCUCAUAUCAGAGCCAAGAGAAAUUGGAAGGAGUUGCUACUGCCUCAAAAUUAGCUUAAAUAAACACUUUCAUAUAGGGUAUUAUACAAUGUGUACAGAAAUUCCAUUUUUCUACACAGAAGAGAAGCCUCUCUUAUCUUACAGGGAAAUUAUCUUUUGGGAUCUUAUGAAGAACUUCUUAUGCUCCAUUUUAUUUUGACUGUGAGGUUAAUUUUCAUUAAGGCUGAGUGAAAUACUGAAGGGAAAAUAUAGAAUCUGACAACUUCAACAAGAAAGGGAAAAGAAAGUGGCAGAAGAUUUCACAACAAAUGUAAAGGAAGACAAAGCAACAUUGACUGUGUGGUUAAAAUUGAAAGAAAAUAGAUGUUUGGAGAUUCAGCUCUGAGGAAGUACUGGAGUUUAUCUACUAUUCUUAAAAGGAGGUUGAAUGGGCCUCAGGGACUGUUUUAUUUAGCAUAUUAGGCAACUGUGCAAUAUUUAAUUAGAAUUGUCAGUUUUUAAAAAGUUAUUUUAACUGCUUGUUGGAAAAGAUUGAAAUGUAAAUAAUAAGAUGAAUGAAACAAACUAUUUUAGUAUCUGAUCUACCUUAAAUUUAGGAAUAUAUUACUUGAACUUUAAGAAAACAUAAUUCAUUAAAGAUGACUCUAGAGCACUGUAGUGGGUAUGUGCAUAUAGUAUUUAUAAUUUAUCUUUCUUUUUAAUUUGUGUAAUUUUGUCUUGAUGUGUUUUUAGAUUGGGUUUGCCGAGAGUAGUUAUUACUCCCUAAAAACUACCUCCUGAAGAUUUACUCGUUUAGUGUUGAGGACAGGAUUUUAAAGCUGAGAAUUUUAGAAAAUGUCAUGCACUAUACUUAAACUCUCAAGAACUGAUAAGCAAACGAAUAGAUACUUUACUUGGGAACUGAGAAACUUAAAUUAAAU